rnacentral:rRNA from 1 species
GACAGGGGGUGCAAACGUUGCUCGGAAUCACUGGGCAUAAAGCGCACGUAGGCGGCCGUCUAAGUCAGAUGUAAAAGCCCCCGGCUCAACCGGGGAACCGCACCUGAUACUGGAUGGCUUGAGAAUGGUAGGGGUGGGCGGAACUCCAGGUGGAGCGGUGAAAUGCGUAGAUAUCUGGAGGAACACCGGUGGCGAAAGCGGCUCACUGGACCAUUUCUGACGCUGAGGUGCGAAAGCUAGGGGAGCAAACGGG